UAAGACGAACCGUGCAAACGUUAUUCGGAAUCACUGGGCUUAAAGGGCGCGUAGGCGGGUGGUCAAGUCCGAGGUGAAAGCCUCCAGCUUAACUGGAGAAGUGCCCCGGAUACUGAUUGUCUCGAGGAGGGUAGGGGCAUCUGGAACUAGCGGUGGAGCGGUGAAAUGCGUUGAUAUCGCUAGGAACUCCAAUGGCGAAGGCAAGGUGCUGGACCCUUUCUGACGCUGAGGCGCGAAAGCCAGGGGAGCGAACGGGAUUAGAUACCCCGGUAGUCCUGGCCCUAAACGAUGAGGACUAGAUAGUGGACUUGAUAUGGGUUCACUGUCGGAGCAAAAGUGCUAAGUCCUCCGCCUGGGGAGUAUGGUCGCAAGGCUG
rnacentral:rRNA from 1 species